UUAACACAAAUUUGUAUUGAGUUGAAACGUUUGCCUACGUUUGCCGCUAGGGGCGCUAUUCCAACUGCAUACAAAUUCGAGUUG
rnacentral:pre_miRNA from 1 species